AUUGUUGAUUAUUAGUAUAAAUAGGCUUAUGUUCACAGCCUCAAAACUCAAAGCAAAACAUGGCUAUAGACAAGAGUAUUAGUGCAAUAGUUCUACUCCUUGUUUGUGGUUCAAUCAUACUGGGAGGGAUUCCAACUGAAGCCAAAGUUUGCCCUCUAAUUUGCUAUGAUGUAGCUGCUUAUAUGACUUGCCCGUCUUCAGGAAACGAGCAUCUUUCACCACUCUGCAACUGUUGCUUAGCAUCGGAACCAGGCUGCGCCAUUUACCUGUCCGAUGGAACUCGCCUCUGUACUAGUACUUGAAUAGUUGAAUAUGAUGAUUGGGGGCAUGCAUGAUCAUGAUGCCCUAGCUUGUCUGAUACAAUAAAUAUUAUGGUCUGCCACUAGUACGUGGUUUUGAACUAUCCUAAGAAUAAGAACCAGAUCUCGGUACCUGGGUUAUGCAUUUGCUAGCUUCUACUAAUGUGAUCGAUGUUCUUUA